GUAAUGCCCCCCACCAACGGCGACGAUGGGUAGCUGGUCUGAGAGGACGCCCCGCCACACUGGGACUAAUACACGGCCCAGAUUCCUACGGGAGGCAGCAGUGAGGAAUUUUCCGCAAUGGGCGAAAGCCUGACGGAGCGACGCCGCGUGCACGAGGAAGGCCUUCGGGUCGUAAAGUGCUGUCGAGGGGGACGAUUAUGACGGUACCCCUGGAGGAAGCCCCGGCUAACUACGUGCCAGCAGCCGCGGUAAGACGUAGGGGGCAAGCGUUGUUCGGAAUUAUUAAGCGUAAAGGGUGCGUAGGCGGAUUCGUAAGUCGGGGUUGAAUCUUUUGGCUCAACUCGGGGCACGGCCUCGAUAAUGCGGAUCUCGAGUCAGGAAGAGGGUAAUGGAAUUCCCGGUGUAGCGGUGAAAUG
rnacentral:rRNA from 1 species